AAGCCUGACCCAGGAAAAAUUCCUAAUGACACCCUUGACCUAGUUUCAUUCCCAUGUCUCUGAUAAAUAUCCUGGCCAAAAAGAGAUUUAGAGGAGAAGGGAGUUCCUUUUGCUCACACUCCCAUGAUCCAGUCCACCACUGGGUUUCUUUAGCUUACACACUCCCAUGAUCGAGUCUGCUAUUGGGUUUCCUUUCGCUUGCACACUCCCACAUUCUAGUCUAUAAUGUGUUUCCUUUGGCUUACACUUCCAGGUUCUAGCCCACCAUCACAGGGAGAUCAAGGGGACAGGACUGGAGUCAGCUAGUCAAACAUAUCACAUUCAGAAGCAGACAGAGAAUGAAUGCACACGUACUGCUAAGCUAGAUGUCACUAUUCUUCAUUACUCCAGGACCCCAAACUACGGAAUGAUGAUGCCCACUUUAAGGCUGCGUCCUCCUAUCAACCAAGGCAAUCAAGGCACAGAAUUGGCAUAACCAUAUUAUCCCCGCCCCAAAGGCUCAGGGACAUCCUGGAAAGACACUGUACAGAAGCUCAUAGUAUGCAGAAACUGCAGUGAAGCAGCGUCCUCUGGCCAUGACAGGACAGCAGCUGUGGAUGCCUGCACAAGACCAAACAAGAUCAAGCCAGCCAGAAUUCCAGCGUGGAGAAAGGAGGGACACGUAGUUCCUGGGGUCGCUGAAGUGUCAGAAGUGAGCCGAACACUGUCUGGUAAACGGCAAAAGUCUUGGAUGCAGACUUCCAGUUGAGAAGAUUAAAAUAGAGACAUUUUGAAAGCUGUUCAAAAAGAAUUAGACUUAAUGACAUCUCAUUGGAAUACAUAAAGACACCUCACUGAAGUCCUGAAUCCCUUGAUGUGGGGGCUGAACAGCUAGCAUGGCCACUGUGUGGAUGGCUCUGGUAGGUUCUUCAAAUCAUUCACUGUCAUUAGAAUAAUGAGGGGAGGACAAUCUACUGGGUUGUGCUUACGUCUUACUAAAUGCUGUUUUCCAUGCAAAUCCUUUGUUGUCAUUUAGUGCUCCCCAUAAUCCAGAAAGAGUGAGUGG